GUCUACGGCCAUACUACCCUGAACGCACCUGAUCUUGUCUGAUCAUGGAAUCUAAGCAGGGUCGGGCCUGGUUAGUACUUGGAUGGGAGACAUCAUUCAUUUAUGAAGGAACAUGUUGCUGGUGUUA
ensembl:rRNA 5S_rRNA 5S ribosomal RNA